rnacentral:tRNA from 1 species
GCGAGAAUGGCGGAAUUUGGCAGACGCGCUAGACUUAGGAUCUAGUACCGCGAAGGUGUCGGGGUUCGAGUCCCCGUUCUCGCACAA